UCUUCUUCCCUCCCUUCCUAUGUGCUGGGUGUACCGACAAAGUGGUCAUCCAAACCAAAGGCAAUGGAGACGGCGGACCAGUCAUAUAUGAUUGUUGAGCUCGCCAGAAGGUUAUCCUCCGUGGCUUUUUCAGUGCCGUGUGGGGCAGCAUUUUCAACCCUCCAGGUGUCCUGCUCAGCAGCUCCGUUUGGGGGAGAGCAACCUGCCUCCCUGCCCAGAACGAAGAGACGCUGACAGCAGCCAUUGCCUGGAUUAUCCAACCAAGGGCUUUGAAGAGAUUCUACCCGAUUGCAUGCCAAAUAAGCAGUAAUGGGUUGGGACUCCAGCCUAUGGAAUGGUGCCACUGACAUGCAGGGCGAGUCUUCCAUUUGCAGCUGAACCAUUCUGAAAUCACCUGCACAGAAACUCCCAAAGCUCUAACUCCGGGAUGAGGUUUUGUACUACUUGUCCAACGACGAAGUCCACGCAAGUCUUGCGCCCUGGUCGCUUGUGCUCCUGGCAGACACGUGGACGAACCUGUUUGUUGACAGCAAGGGCAGCAGUUGGAGGGUCUGGGUCGCCUCAUUCCUGGAGGGCGAUGGAGAGGACAGGGCGCGCGCUGGAGGCUUAGGGAGCGCUAUGGAGCAACCAGAGGGUGUUUUGGGGGCACGCAGAAGCCUCCCGGGUUGGUGGGGCGCGCAAGCGGGGG